rnacentral:rRNA from 1 species
CAGCAGCCACGGUAAUACGAAGGGUGCAAGCGUUACUCGGAAUUACUGGGCGUAAAGCGUGCGUAGGUGGUGGUUUAAGUCCGUUGUGAAAGCCCUGGGCUCAACCUGGGAAUUGCAGUGGAUACUGGGUCACUAGAGUGUGGUAGAGGAUAGUGGAAUUUCCGGUGUAGCAGUGAAAUGCGUAGAGAUCGGAAGGAACAUCUGUGGCGAAGGCGACUAUCUGGGCCAACACUGACACUGAGGCACGAAAGCGUGGGGAGCAAACAGGAUUAGAUACCCCCGUAGUCCCUGUCUCUUAUAC